rnacentral:rRNA from 1 species
GACGAACGCUGGCGGCGUGCCUAAUACAUGCAAGUAGAACGCACAGUUUAUACCGUAGCUUGCUACACCAUAGACUGUGAGUUGCGAACGGGUGAGUAACGCGUAGGUAACCUGCCUGGUAGCGGGGGAUAACUAUUGGAAACGAUAGCUAAUACCGCAUAAUAUUGAUUAUUGCAUGAUAAUUGAUUGAAAGAUGCUAUUGCAUCACUACCAGAUGGACCUGCGUUGUAUUAGCUAGUAGGUGAGGUAACGGCUCACCUAGGCGACGAUACAUAGCCGACCUGAGAGGGUGAUCGGCCACACUGGGACUGAGACACGGCCCAGACUCCUACGGGAGGCAGCAGUAGGGAAGCUUCGGCAAUGGCCGAAAGUCUGACCGAGCAACGCCGCGUGAGUGAAGAAGGUUUUCGGAUCGUAAAGCUCUGUUGUAAGAGAGGAACGGGUGUGAGAGUGGAAAGUUCACACUGUGACGGUAGCUUACCAGAAAGGGACGGCUAACUACGUG